GGGCGUGUGGCGCAACGGAUAUCGCGUCUGACUACGGAUCAGAAGAUUCCAGGUUCAAAUCUUGGCACCUUCG